rnacentral:lncRNA from 1 species
AUACACAGUAAUUGAAUACAUUAUUGCUAUUAUUAUUUUGAACAAACUGUUAUCUGUUAGAGCAAUUAAGCGUAAGAAAAAUUAAAGCUUUUAUUUUGCUUUCUUUUAUUCAUUCUCUGAUGCUCUUCCUUUCUUAUGUAGGUCCAUGUUUCUGACCUGUAUCAUUUUCAUUCUCUCUAAAGAACUUCUUGUAACAUUUCUUGCCGCAGGUCUUUUGCAACAAAUUCCCCCAAUUUUUAUUUUAGAAAAUCUUUAUUUUUCCUCACUUUUGAGGGAUAAUUACAAAGGUUACAGAUUUCUAGGUCGGUAUAUUUCUUCUCUUAACACUUCAAAUAUUUCACUCUAUUCUUGAUUGCAUGGUUUAUGAGAAAUCAGAUGUAGUUCUUAUCCUUGCUUCUGUAUUGGUAAGAUAUUUUUUCCCUCUGUCUUCUUUCAAUAAUUUUUUCUUUCUCUUUGACUUUCUGCAGUUUAAAUACUCUAGGCCUACAUGUAGUUUUUUUUUCUUUUUCUUUUUUUGGCAUUUAUCCUGCUUUGUGUUCUCUGAGCUUACUGGGCCUGUGGUUUGGUGUCUGACAUGUGCUUUAGUUAAUCUGUCCGUAAAGUGGGGAUUAUGAUAGUAGCUGUUUCCUGAGGUAAUUGUGGGAACGAAGAUUAAUUCAAUACAUGGCAAGCACUUAGAAGGGUACAUGCAAUGUAGUUAGUACUACGUAAGUGUUUUCUAAUAUUUCAUAGAUACUUGCUAAGCAACAAGCUAAGUCAUUUUCAUACAGGAUCUUGUUUCUUCUUCACAGCAAUCCUAUCCUCAGGAGGUACCUGUUAUUAUCCCCAUUUUAUAGAUGGGGAGACUGAAGGCUUAAAGACAUUAAAUGUCUUGUCUGUGCCCACACAGCUAGUUACGUGGCAGGUCUUGAAGUCCUGCUCAGAUCUAUCUGAUUGCCAAAAUCAUGUGUUAAAUUGUCAAGGAGUAGCACCUCAGAAGGAGGUUCAGUGCUAGUUAAUCUCUAUGAUCCUUUUCAGAACUGAAAUUCUACUGUGUGAAGUUUGAAGUAAUGCCAGAGUAAUACUGUGUAGCGUGCACAGGCUUGGGCGUUUACGCAAAUCGGCAUACCUCUGCUUCCCCUGCUGUGACAGGAAGCUAAUCCACCUCCCUUUCUCAGCCGGUUGUUUUGAGCAUUGAGAGAGCUGCCGUAUGUAAAACAUUUUGCACGGUGCUUUGUAAGUGGUAUUGGCACAGUCUAGGUGCUCAGAAAUUUGGAUGAUAAAAUAAUUAUAAGUUAAAAAUCUUUUCCAGUAGUUACAUUAUUGGAAGGAGUCAUGAGAUGCUUUGAUUUAGAGGUCCCCCCCCCCCCUCCCAGCUGUCCAGGCAGGAGGACAUAUGGUAAAAAAAACUGCUGAUGUAGGGCUUGGCUAAAAGAAGUCAGAGUAACUUGCAUAACAGAACGCAACUCUUGGGCUGCACAGAAGCCUUCCUGGGUAAGAAGCUGACGUGACUCUGGUAUGCGGAGCCCUGCCCUUCCUUCCCUCCCUUCCCUUCCUUCCCUUCCUCCCCUCCCCCGCCCCUCCCUUUUCCCUUCCCUUUCCUUCCCUUGGCACAUGGAAGUUCCUGGGCUAGGGGUUGAAUUGGAGCUGCAGCUGCUGGCCUGCACCACAGCUUAUAGCAGUGCCCGAUCCUUAACCCACUGAGAGAGGCCAGGGAUCAGACCCACAUAUGCAUGGAGACAAUGUCGCGUCCUUAACCUGCUGAGCCACGAUGGAAACUCCCCGGAGGUUUUAUUUCUAAUGCUGAUAAUCAUAAGAGAAUUGGGACACUCUUGGGCAUUAUGGCAAAGCUUUUAUUUAUGAUAAAUCUCAUUCAGAGGAAGAUUAAAUUGGAGUGAAUAUUCCCAACAUGGUUGGUCCUGAUUAGAGAGAGAGCAGAUGGCCUUUAAGCAGGACAUCAGCCAUGCCAGGCAGCGUUAGGACUGCCUGCUUUCUGAGCUUCGCAGAGUGAAAGGGCUGCCACAGUGAUGUGAUUUGGGUAUGACAUUUCUUAGAGUAGCGUAAAGGGAUAUAUGAUUGUUAGAAUCAGAGUUGACAGCUGCUGUGGGGGCCAGACCUAUGCGGCAUGGUGAAGGGGGGAAAAUUUCUGCCUCUCGCAUUUCUGUGUGUGUGUGUGUGUGUGUGUGUGUGUGUGUGUGUGUGUACGUGUACUCUUCUAUUACGGCUUUUUCAAUCUCUUUUAAAGAAACAGAGGGAUUAAAAGUAGCAAAGUAGCAAUUCUACUCCCUUUCUUUGGCUGCCCAAGCAGCCCCACCUCCAAAAAUGUGAAUUAUAAUCUCAAAGCCCCUUGGUAGCCUUCUCCAAUAGUCCCUGUUCCUCUCACAAUACAUUUUGCAAUGCCGCUGUUUGGGGCUUCAAAUCUUUUAGUCAAUAAGCAUGGCUGGAGGGCAUAUUUUGUAGCUGGCACUGUGUUAUGACGUGAGGAUUCAAGAAGAAUGAUAGAGUUGAAUGGGAAAGCUUAGGGGAUAGGUAUGUUUAAACAGAUGAGUAUAGCACUAUGUAAUGGGCCGUGAGAGGAGUGCCUUAAUUUGGGUUUCUCCCAAAGCACACCUGUGCAAUAAGGAUUUGGGUGCAAGUAAUUUAUUUGGGAAGUGAUGCCAGGAAACACUGGUAGAAAAGAUCAGGGAAUUGGGGCAGGGAGCUGGUCACGGGAGUAUUUUUAAACUAGUUAGUAUCAUAGGCAGCGAGGGUUCAGGAUCUCUGGGGAACUCUGGGAGCCGGUGUAAAUGUGCUUAAUUUUCCCAAUCAAGGGGCCACACAGCUGGGGCAGUUAUCCAUCAGAUCCCUCCUCAUCGUUGUUUGAAGUCUGCCUGGAGGGUCAUUAACUCCGUAGCACUCCUCCUGAGCACAUGGCUAAGUGUGCUCCAGUGGGCCACUAUACAGCCCCAGGUAGAGACACAGGUGUUCAUAGCAAGCAGCCUUCUGUGUCUCCCUUGUCUUAGUAAAAGCAUCUCUUCCAAGGAGAUGUGGGCAGAGCCCCAGCAGCAGCUGCUAAAAGCGGUCUGUUGGGACUACAAGGAAGGCACACAGAAAGGAUUAGCUAUUCCUGGUUUGGGUGACCAACAAAGAUUUCAUAGAGAAGAGCUUUCCAGGCCCGAACAAAGGCAUGAAGUGUUUGGAAGAAUGCAGUAAAUUCAACAUGACUGGUGUGGAUGCAGUCAGGGAGAGAGCUCGGAUUGUGGGAAAAGACAGUGCUGGUGAGCAGGCCAGGACCAGCUCUAGGAAACCUGUAUGACAAGCUACACUCCAGACGCUACUGGAGAUGCAAAGAAAGCCCCAUCUCUAAGAAGGCUUGUGCCAUGGCCACGUUGGCUUUUUAGAAAGAUCAGUGUAGCUAUGGUUGGAAGGACCUGUGGCUGCUCCUUCCUGUCUGCUUCCUGGGUGUUUCAUGUCUGUUUCCUAUUUCUGGGAGCAUUGCACCACCACUAAUUCAUUCUCAUCCAGUUUGCAGUUUUCCCAACACUCUCAUGAUCAGCCUCAUUGUGUUCCCUCAGAGAUGGGUGGUGUCUCCUCUAUGGGGAUCUGGGUCACAACCACGCAGGGUUCCUCCUCCAGGCUGCUAGGUUCUGAUAACUUCAACCUCUUCCCUUUGUUCCUCCAUAUCCCGGGGUGGCCACUGAUUCCUAUGUUACCUCAGCAUUUCCUGUCUUUCUUUUGAGAUCUCCAAGGCCUGUUUUCAGCAAUUUCACCUCCCAUCCCUGGUUUACCUCCGCUGAAAUAACUGUAGUGCUUUGUCUUUCUGUCUGGAUCCUAGCUGAUGCAAGGAGGCACACCGAUGGAGACUAACUGGUGAAUGGGCUUGGCUUGGAGACCAUGAGUUUGCAUCCACCCACUUGUUUGAUUUUCCCCAAAGCUCUCAGUAGCCAGGACAUAGGCACAGAGAAGGCAGAUCAUUGGGCUCAUCAGACGUUGGGGUUUGAAGAGGAAGAUGUUCAAGAGGGCACAUGGCAUCAGAGGCAGACAGACUAGAUAGUAUAGCAGCAGCAGCAGAAGCAGUAGCAAUAGUAAUAAUAGAAGCGCUUGUUUACUGUGUGCCAGGCACUGUUUUACGUGCUUUAUGUUUACUAUUAUUUAACUUAUCCCCGUGGAGAUACAUAUAUACUUUUAUUCUCCAUUCUACAGAUGAGGACACCAAGGCACCGAGAGGCUAAGUAAUGUGCCCAAGGUCCAAUAACUAGUAGGGGACAAGGUCGGUAUUUGAACCCGGGCAGUCUGCCCCCAUGGUUUGGGCUCAUCCUUAUUACAAGGGGUGAAUUUCCUGUCCUACGGUUCUGAUUCCACAGAUAUAUGACUUCAUAUCUUUUUGUUUGUUUGUUUGUUUUGACUUCAUGUCUUUUUGACAAUCUGUGUCUUGGAUGUAAGGUUUUAGUGAUGAUGACACAUUUCUGAGAAGCCCUUUGCAGGAAAUCAGAGAAAGCUGAGCUUAAUCUACAAAGAUGAGACUAAAGAGAAAGCCGGAAUAAAAGGCAUGGACUGCUAGGGGCAUGGGGCUCCUCUUCUGCAAAAGCACAGACGGAAACAAGACAGAGGAGGUGAGAGUUUAUCAUUCUCUGAAAGCUUAAUUAGGUCAUUGGCGAGGACAGAAUAUUAAAAAAAAAAUCCCAUCAGCUAAAGACCUGUGGGAUUUAAUUCCCUCAUUCCUGUUCCUUAGUCUUAGAAUAAAUGAAGCCUUUUCCUAGUUACAAAAAUGUUGAAAAAUGAUUGAUUGUCCUAAUGAGGAAGGCGAACAGCUGCCUGAACAGCAGAUGUAACUUUUAUAAUCAUUUCCCCUUCAUUGGUUUUCUCCCUAACGACCCCGGCACUGAUGAUAGUAUUUAAGAAGGAGGGUGUGUGAUGGGCAGAGGCCUGGAAUGAUCAGGAAGCUUGGGCAAAGAAGAAAAUGGUUGGCCCAGGUCUCUCAUGGUUGGCUGCAUUUCCAACAAGCCCAGAGUUACGGGUGUUCAUCAGGCUGGUUGAAGACAGCAGAACUAGAGUUUGUGGCAACCAAGUAUCCCAGGUUUGAGGGCCAGACCUGACUGGAAAAAAGCCCCUUCCAGCUGCCAUGUGUACUUAAAUAUGCUCUAACUUCCCUAAGGCUAGGGUGAACUGACUUGCAGAAAGAAACUUCCCCGCCGGGGGACAUGGAGCCGAAAGUCUGCAGAGAAACUGAAACGUGAUCGUGUAGGCAGCAGGCGUGGUGGUUAGGAGCAUGGGCUCUGGCGGCACAUGCCGUAUUCAGAUCCUGACUCUGCCAUUUACCAGCUGUGUGACUACGGGUAGGUCACUUAACUGCUCUGGGCCUUGGUUUGUCGUUGUGUGACCUUGGGCCAGUUUCUUAACCUCUCUGUGCAUUAUUUUAUACUUUCCUUAUCUGUAAAAUAAGGAUGAUAAGAAUAUCGAUUUCAUGGGCUUGUUGAAGGGAUUAAGCAAGUAAAUAUAAAGCCCUCAGAACAGGCACGGCACGUAGCAAGUCUAUGUAUAUGCUUCUUAAAUAUCAUAAGUGACCUGCCUUGGGCAAAGCUG